rnacentral:rRNA from 1 species
AGUGGCGGACGGGUGAGUAACGCGUAAGAAUCUAACUUCAGGACGGGGACAACAGUGGGAAACGACUGCUAAUACCCGAUGUGCCGCGAGGUGAAACCUAAUUGGCCUGAAGAAGAGCUUGCGUCUGAUUAGCUAGUUGGUGGGGUAAGAGCCUACCAAGGCGACGAUCAGUAGCUGGUCUGAGAGGAUGAGCAGCCACACUGGGACUGAGACACGGCCCAGACUCCUACGGGAGGCAGCAGUGGGGAAUUUUCCGCAAUGGGCGAAAGCCUGACGGAGCAACGCCGCGUGAGGGAGGAAGGUCUUUGGAUUGUAAACCUCUUUUCUCAAGGAAGAAGUUCUGACGGUACUUGAGGAAUCAGCCUCGGCUAACUCCGUGCCAGCAGCCGCGGUAAUACGGGGGAGGCAAGCGUUAUCCGGAAUUAUUGGGCGUAAAGCGUCCGCAGGUGGUCAGCCAAGUCUGCCGUCAAAUCAGGUUGCUUAACGACCUAAAGGCGGUGGAAACUGGCAGACUAGAGAGCAGUAGGGGUAGCAGGAAUUCCCAGUGUAGCGGUGAAAUGCGUAGAGAUUGGGAAGAACAUCGGUGGCGAAAGCGUGCUACUGGGCUGUAUCUGACACUCAGGGACGAAAGCUAGGGGAGCGAAAGGGAUUAGAUACCCCUGUAGUCCUAGCCGUAAACGAUGGAGACUAGGCGUGGCUU